AUUGAACGCUGGCGGCAUGCCUUACACAUGCAAGUCGAACGGCAGCACGGGAGCAAUCCUGGUGGCGAGUGGCGAACGGGUGAGUAAUAUAUCGGAACGUGCCCAGUCGUGGGGGAUAACGCAGCGAAAGCUGUGCUAAUACCGCAUACGAUCUACGGAUGAAAGCGGGGGAUCGCAAGACCUCGCGCGAUUGGAGCGGCCGAUAUCAGAUUAGCUAGUUGGUGGGGUAAAGGCCUACCAAGGCGACGAACGGUAGCUGGUCUGAGGGGACGACCAGCCACACUGGAACUGAGACACGGUCCAGACUCCUACGGGAGGCAGCAGUGGGGAAUUUUGGACAAUGGGCGCAAGCCUGAUCCAGCAAUGCCGCGUGCAGGAUGAAGGCCUUCGGGUUGUAAACUGCUUUUGUACGGAACGAAACGGUGAGCUCUAAUACAGUUUGCUAAUGACGGUACCGUAAGAAUAAGCACCGGCUAACUACGUGCCAGCAGCCGCCGUAAUAC
rnacentral:rRNA from 1 species